rnacentral:rRNA from 1 species
UACGGAGGAUGCAAGCGUUAUCCGGAUUUAUUGGGUUUAAAGGGUACGCAGGUUGUUUGAUAAGUCAGUGGUGAAAGUCUGUCGCUUAACGGUAGGAUUGCCAUUGAUACUGUUGGACUUGAAUAUGGAUGAGGUAGGCGGAAUGUGUAGUGUAGCGGUGAAAUGCAUAGAUAUUACACAGAACACCGAUUGCGAAGGCAGCUUACUAAUCCAUCAUUGACGCUGAGGCACGAAAGCGUGGGGAUCAAACAGGA